AGAGUUUGAUCCUGGCUCAGAUUGAACGCUGGCGGCAGGCUUAACACAUGCAAGUCGAGCGGGGGAAGGUAGCUUGCUACCGGACCUAGCGGCGGACGGGUGAGUAAUGCUUAGGAAUCUGCCUAUUAGUGGGGGACAACAUCUCGAAAGGGAUGCUAAUACCGCAUACGUCCUACGGGAGAAAGCAGGGGAUCUUCGGACCUUGCGCUAAUAGAUGAGCCUAAGUCGGAUUAGCUAGUUGGUGGGGUAAAGGCCUACCAAGGCGACGAUCUGUAGCGGGUCUGAGAGGAUGAUCCGCCACACUGGGACUGAGACACGGCCCAGACUCCUACGGGAGGCAGCAGUGGGGAAUAUUGGACAAUGGGGGGAACCCUGAUCCAGCCAUGCCGCGUGUGUGAAGAAGGCCUUAUGGUUGUAAAGCACUUUAAGCGAGGAGGAGGCUACUUUAGUUAAUACCUAGAGAUAGUGGACGUUACUCGCAGAAUAAGCACCGGCUAACUCUGUGCCAGCAGCCGCGGUAAUACAGAGGGUGCGAGCGUUAAUCGGAUUUACUGGGCGUAAAGCGUGCGUAGGCGGCUUAUUAAGUCGGAUGUGAAAUCCCCGAGCUUAACUUGGGAAUUGCAUUCGAUACUGGUGAGCUAGAGUAUGGGAGAGGAUGGUAGAAUUCCAGGUGUAGCGGUGAAAUGCGUAGAGAUCUGGAGGAAUACCGAUGGCGAAGGCAGCCAUCUGGCCUAAUACUGACGCUGAGGUACGAAAGCAUGGGGAGCAAACAGGAUUAGAUACCCUGGUAGUCCAUGCCGUAAACGAUGUCUACUAGCCGUUGGGGCCUUUGAGGCUUUAGUGGCGCAGCUAACGCGAUAAGUAGACCGCCUGGGGAGUACGGUCGCAAGACUAAAACUCAAAUGAAUUGACGGGGGCCCGCACAAGCGGUGGAGCAUGUGGUUUAAUUCGAUGCAACGCGAAGAACCUUACCUGGCCUUGACAUACUAGAAACUUUCCAGAGAUGGAUUGGUGCCUUCGGGAA
rnacentral:rRNA from 1 species